UUAUAACUGUAAUGUAGUUCAACACAAAUAUAUUAGUAUAUUUUAUUUAACAUAUACAGUAUAAAUAAUUAUACGAAAACGAAGAUACACUCUCAUACCAAAUAAUUACAUCUCAUGCUCAUGCUUAAUUAUGCUGCUUCCCCACAUUCAAUCAUCAUUACACCAUUUUCUCAAUCUCCGCCAACCUUUUUCAGAAAAUACCCUACUUUGUACAAGUUUUAUAAUCUUAACUUUUUUUCUCUAUGUUGAGUUUUUAAGUCCCUUGCGGAUUGAGUAUGAUACUCCGGUCGGCGUUUCAUUAAUAGACCCCAAAAAGUCGACAUAAUUUUUCUGGAGUGGGGUUAAAGGGUUCAGGCCACUGCCACUCACAAUUGUAAAAAAAAAAGGAGAGAAGUUAAUCGUAAAAAUGUACAUAAACAUAAGGUUAUAAAUCCUAAUAUGUGUAGGAACAAAGAUGUUAAUAGCUAUUUCAAAAUCAUAUGUUGUCGCAGAAACUGCGUCAUUAUGCUUAUUACCUACCACAUAUGCCGUCGCUAAAUACAUGAUUGUAGAAGGCAUGCAAUUUAAAAUAGCUCAAAUAUACAUGUUUAGAUUAGUCGUUUCUUGGGAAAUUUACAUAAUCGAAAAAAAUAACAACUUGAGAGUGGUGAAGCAAACAAUAAAAUGCAUACAUUCACCACUAGGAUGAAUUGUUGUGUUUUUGUUUGAUGUCUCGCGUUUUAAUUCUUAAGAACAUAUAACAUUUCAAAUAUGUAAAACCACACAUAAUAAUGAAAUACGUCACAUGACAUAUGAAUGUAGUUGAAAAGGUCACUCACCGUUAUCAUCUCUAAAA
rnacentral:lncRNA from 1 species